AGCACCCCGUGUGUUGGCUCCACUGACACCCAGCAGCCCACCUCCUGAGGUUGAUCCUCCACUGACAUCAUCAUCACCACCACCACAUCAUGGCAGCACGAGGACAAGUUCAGGGUGGUCGUGGCUACUGCUACAAGAGCAACACAGAAGUGAAGUACAAACCACACCUGUCAUACACGUAUGUGGGGUUUCCAAAAGAUCACAUCCUUCGGAAAGCUGAGGGAGGUAAGUUAUCCAAGUUGGAAUGAAUGUAGAAACUUGCCAAGUUGCUAGUAAAUUGGAAAAUUUUGAUUGCAGCUAAUUCAAGUAUUUGAAUGAGUUAAGACAUAAAUAAGUGUUAUGAUAAAGUACUUGUACUGAAGAAAUGCUAUGUUUGGACACAUGACAAUGGGUGAAAACAGAUAAAUUCAGGUCCAGGAAGAAUUAAAUAAGCUGGUGCAUAGAUAGGGUAGUAGAUGAGUGGAAAAAAUUAGCACACAUACAACUUAUGAAAAUAUAACAUAAUUUCAUCUGGAGGUUAGAUGCUUUGCGAAU